rnacentral:lncRNA from 1 species
CUCGCCACCUUCCCUGGAACUGCAGCCUGGAGGGUGCUUCCCCAGCCCUGCUUCCUGAAGCUUCCAAGCUCAUGCGCCGAGACAGUAGCUCCGGCCACCAAGAUCCACCCCUGCGUGUGUGGCGUGUGUCUGUGUGUGUGUAUGCAUAUGUAUGUACAGGAGCUCUAACUGCAGGACCGUCCUCCUCAUGGGUGACAGGGAGCUCACCAGUCACUCUGGGUUGGGAACUCCUAGCAACAUUUUCCCACAAGUAAGAUCAGAUUAAAGUAAAGAUCAGGAAGGGUCAAGAGAGAAAAACAGCCAUAAAACGGUGGGUUGGGAACUCCCGAAAGGACCUUCCUCACACAACUGGCCCAGAGGCCGUGAGUCACGGAAGACAGCUGCAUCUCAUCUGGAUCGAAGAGUCGAUGCUGGUGGCGGAUUGUGUGUGGCACGAGUUCCCUGACACUCGCUCAGGACAUGUCCCGUGGAUAGCUUCCUCCUGAGGAAGGCAGGCAAGCCGUCCACCCACCCACGCUCCUGCACGCCUUGUGUCAGAGAUCAGCUGUCAAAUCUGACACGCAUCUACGGCGCUGGCGCCAAGGCCUCAGCCUCUCACGCUCCACGUCCCUUGGCCUCUCUGGUUGAGCUCAGCUGGGACAGCCCCCUGACCCCACACUCACCUACCCCCACUCCUGGCCCGGCACAGCUCUGGCCCCAUCGUGCCACAAGCAGGUGGGGGAUAAAGGGAGAGGACACGUCACCAAUAUCAAAGUCGAGCACGUGGCGGGAGCGUCUGUCUCAUGCACGGGAGGGCUGGGCUCGGGGAAGCAGAGAGGAGCGAAAAACGGGAUGCAGGCAGGAACCAUGGCCCGGACCCUCAGAGCCGGAGAGCAGCCACGGGCCCUGGAGUCACCUUGGCUUCCCCUGCAGAGGGAUACACACCCUGGAGGAGAUUCUGCCUUUCCUACAACACAGUGAAGGCCAUUAAAAGCUCUGGAGGAGGGGGAGGGGCUACCUGCGGGGACACCAGAUGACACGAAGCCCUGGGGUUUGGCUUCAGUGAACUUCUUCUCCCAGUGGGAGGAAUACCCCACCACUACACACACACAUGCACGUGCACACACGCACAUAUACACACACACACACACACACACACACAUUCUUGCACGAGUGAAAGGGGAUGUCCCUUACAUCCUUUGACGGCAAAAGCCCUCAACUGGGUUGGGGUUCCAAACACCCAUCAGAGCCGCGUGACCCUACUGGAUUUCUCGGUGGCAGCCUGGGCUCUAAGCAGAUGAGCUUCUGAAAGCCCCGUACUCCCUCGGCCAGCUUCGAACAGCCAUUUAAGGUUGUCUGGGUCCAGGAAAAAGGCCAUCUUUGGAUUUGCUGGGGGCCCCAGAUCUUAGUAGGAAGGAAGAAAAGAACCUCGCAAAUCCCUCCAGUUUCGUGGGCUCCUCCAGGUGGGGGCAGCCAGGUCUGCAGAUACAGAGGGAAGGAAGCCUGGAAAUGAAUGCUGAUCCCAGGGGAUGGGGAGGAGUCAAAAGCAUCCCCAAAGUGCACUGUUUGGGAGUCCUAGACCCGGGACAGGUGAAGGGCACCUGUCUUCAGCCUUUAAUGAUCUAGGGCAGCCAUUCUCUCUGAAGGCUGAGGGAGCCUGGAGGGGCAGGAGAGGCAAGGCAGGUCCCUGUGGUCAGAGAGCGCCUUCUGGAUACAGCCACGGUUUGCUUUCAUUAUGCAAGGCACAGAGGAAUGUGAUGCUAGACACAGCACUACCGCCGAGACAGGAGCGAGACAGUGCUGUGGGAUGCCCAGGGUUAAAAAAAGUUGCCGCGGUGGCUCACGCCUGUAAUCCCAGCACUUUGAGAGGCCGAGGUGGGCAGAUCACCUGAGGUCAGGAGUUUGAGACCAGUCUGGCCAACAUAGUGAAACCCCAUCUCUACUAAAAAUACAAAAAUAAGCUGGGCGUGGUGGUGAGCACCUGUAAUCCCAGCUACUCGGGAGGCUGAGGCAGGAGAAUCACUUGAACCCAGGAGGCGGAGGUUGCAGUGAGCCGAGAUCGCACCACUGCACUCGAACCUGGGCGUCAGAGCGAGAUUCUGUUUAAAAAAAAAAAAAAAAAAAAGUUGCAGGGAAACUGCAAAGAAGGUGGGGAAAGGACACUCCUACACACUGUGGGUGUGUGUUGAAGGGGGACAGACCCUGAACUGGGGCAGCCUUCUAGGUGUGCAGGUACAACGAGGCAGUCCCUGUCCAUGUGCAAAACGCCCAGCAAUCACCCAGCAACAGCCCUUCCAGGGCUCUUGUCUACCAAACCCUAUAGGCCUCCACAGGGACAUGAGGAUGAAGAUGCUGGGGACAGCAUGAGUCCCACCUCAUCUACACCACGGAGCUCCAUGCAGCCCCUCCAAA